UUACGCCCACAUCACGUUGAAACAUCGGUUCCCGUAAGAUCAUCGAAAUUAAGCAAAUCCCGAGUUUGGUCAGUACCAAGAUGCAUGACCACUUGGGAAUACUAGAUGCUGUAA